rnacentral:rRNA from 1 species
UACGGGGGGGGCAAGCGUUGUUCGGAAUUACUGGGCGUAAAGGGCUCGUAGGUGGCCAACUAAGUCAGACGUGAAAUCCCUCGGCUUAACCGGGGAACUGCAUCUGAUACUGGAUGGCUUGAGUUUGGGAGAGGGAUGCGGAAUUCCAGGUGCAGCGGUGAAAUGCGUAGAUAUCUGGAGGAACACCGGUGGCGAAGGCGGCAUCCUGGACCAACACUGACACUCAGGUGCGACAGCGUGGGGAGCAAACAGG